UAAACAUUUCAAAUGUAUCCCAUACUGCAUGGGUUGUGUUGAAGUCUUUAACUAGUUUGAGGGUUUCUUCAAACUGUUGAGAUGAUCCAACCAUGAAUGAGGGGAUCGGACUUCCACAAGGCAAUGGAUUUGUUAAUUUUGGUGUGAAUUUCUUUUUUUUCUUUUUUUCUUUUUAAAAUUGUUUGGAUUUGAUGUGUUGUAUUUGGUGGGAAUAAGGUUUUUCAUUGGUGAAAUGAUCAACCUAAUCUUGAACUCAUUUGUCAAUUUUGGUAUGAAAUUUGUCGCUUUUGUUGUUUUGUUUGGAUUUAGUGGGAUGUAUUUGAUGGAUAAGGAUUAAUG
rnacentral:lncRNA from 1 species